UUACGGCCACAACACGUUAAAACAUCGGUUCCCGUAAGAUCAUUAAAGUUAAGCAACGUUGUGACUAGUCAGUACUUAGAUUGGUAACCACUUGGAAAUACCACAUGCUGUAAG